rnacentral:lncRNA from 1 species
GACUGUACCUGCGGACUGAAAAUAGGAGUAUUUCUACUCCUAAUACCGGUGAGUGGACUUGCAUUUCAAACUUGUUUUGGGGAAUAUGAAAGAUUCUAUCCAACUUGUCUUAGAAAAUGUACCUUGGGAACAAGCUUUUAGUAAAAUAAUUUUAUAUUGUGAAAAUGUGUUAUACAAUGGUUUAUGUGUUAUCACAAUAUGAUAAAAUGCAUGAUAUGCAUUGGAUGCUUCUUUACAUGUUGAUUUGGACCCGG